rnacentral:tmRNA from 1 species
GGGGGCGUAAUGGUUUCGACGGGGGAAUAGGUGGAAAGAGCAGCGAGCCGAGUUGGUGCCACCUCGUUAAAACGGUACAAAAAAAGUAACUGCAAACGAUAAUUACGCACUAGCGGCUUAAUGCCGCUCGUCCGGCCAGGUUUCCUAACGGCCUGGUGCAGGGCGUCAUCUAGUUAGGGUACCCUUCCAGCCCUUCUCUCUGGGGGCUUUAAGGGGAAACUAACAGGGAUAGCUUGAAGGAAGCCUGUUCGUGGGCGUCCGGAUAGCGAAAUCCAAAACACGAACUGCGCUCGGAGAUACUGUUUCCGUCGUUCUUUCGGACGGGGGUUCGACUCCCCCCGCCUCCACCA